UACGGGGGGGGCAAGCGUUGUUCGGAAUUACUGGGCGUAAAGGGCGCGUAGGCGGCUCAUCAAGUCGGGCGUGAAAUCUCCGGGCUUAACCUGGAAAAGUCGUUCGAUACUGUUGGGCUAGAGUGUGGAAGAGGCUACUGGAAUUCCGAGUGUAGAGGUGAAAUUCGUAGAUAUUCGGAAGAACACCAGUGGCGAAGGCGGCUCACUGGACUGGUAUUGACGCUGAGGUGCGAAAGCGUGGGGAGCAAACAGG
rnacentral:rRNA from 1 species